rnacentral:tRNA from 1 species
GAGGGUAUAGCUCAGUGGUACAGUGUGUGCUUAGCGUGCACGAGGUCCUGGGUUCAGUCCCCAGUAACUCCC